CUCCAAAGUGUUAAACAAAGAAUUGCCAUAUGACCCAUCAAUUAUACCCCUAAGUAUAUACCCAAGUGAAUUGAAAACAUAUGUCCAUGCAAAAUCUUGUACAGUAACAUGUCAGUCAUGAUGUCUGCCCCACUUACCCACAGACCCUUCUAAAGACAGAGCAGAAGUCACCUUCUUUGGUACCAUGUGACUGGCAACUUCUGCUCACACCACAGCUGAUUGUGUCAGACAUGGGCAUCAGCCCCAGGGGCAGCCAAUGCAUGGGCAGGGCAAGUGAUUUAUGAGAUAGCUGGACCCAGAAUAUCUGGCCCAACAGGAACCAGGUUGACCUGUGAGAUUGCCACCUGGGAUGCAUUUAAAUUAGAAACUCCAGAGUAAAUCAACUUGUUAAGAAAAGGAUUUGAAGCUGAAGGUAUAAAAGAUAUAUGAGACAGGAGGGAGUAGGGUGGGAAAUGAAAGAACAGAAACUGAAUAUUCAGAGCUAGGGGGUAGAGAAAAGAAACUAAAAAAAGCGCAAAGGUGGUCAGUUUCCAGCAAUACAGCAGAUUAGAUAGCCUGAAACACUCAACCCCACCCGCAAAAACAUCUGGAAAUUCUGAGUAAAAGAUAACAAGUACUCUUUUAAAUGAAUCACAGGGUUCACAGGAAAGAAAGGGAAAUCCCCCAUGUCAAAAAACAAAAAUGGAACUGAAACCCAACCGGUAGUGUGAACUGAUAGAUACUAUGCCAGAGGAGGAGGUGUCACGGGUCUCAGAAAGCAAAGACCUCCUAAUGCAAUGCAAAUACAAGGGCAGGAAAUCAGGCCUUGGGGCUCAUGUAAUCCAAAAUUACAAUAUAGAAAUCAUCCUCCUGGAGCUAGGAGUCAACCCAGCAAGCAAAGGCGUACUUUCAGAUAAUAGCAUGUUUGCACAAAAACCAUCGAAAGAUGAGCUAAUAAUUAUUAAAGACACAAAAGAAGGUACCAAAAUAUGCAAACAGAAUAAUAUCAUAAAAAACAAAAAAAAACAAAAAACAAGCAGGUUUGAUAAAGAACCUGGCUCAGGCCUGUAAUCCCAGCACUUUGGGAGGCCGAGGUGGGCAGAUCACGAGGUCAGGAGAUCAAGACCAUCCUGGUUAACACGGUGAAACCCCCGUCUCCACUAAAAAUACAAAAAAAUUAGCUGGGCAUGGUAGCAGGCACCUGUAGUUCCAGCUACUCGGGAGGCUGAG
rnacentral:lncRNA from 1 species